CGGCUGCAUGGUGCUGGUGCUGCGCUGGGCAUCCACAUCAAUUCCCUCCCCCCGGCAGCAGGAUGCGGCCCCCGCUGCAGGAGGAGGAGCAGCAGCAGGAGGAGGAGCGGGGAGCGACCGUCUCCCUCCCGAUUCCCUGAAGCCUGACUCAUGGAGUGCUGCAGGUUCAGCAUGAAUCCUGGAGGAUUUUACAUCUGGGAUGAUAAAUCCUGAUGGAGCUGCCUCUUGUAGCUGCCCAUGGCUCUUUCACAUCUUAAUAAUAGUGCUGAUAAUAGGGGAAAACAAGGAUGUGAAAUAAAGAUUAUCAAAAAGUCAA